rnacentral:lncRNA from 1 species
AAAGAUCCUGCAUUCAAAAAUGGCUUGAUGCUGGUCACAGAACCUGCCCUAAAACACAGCAGACACUUUUGCAUACAUCCCUUACUCCUAACUACGUUUUGAAGAGUCUGAUUGGUUUAUGGUGUGAUAGCAAUGGUGUUGAACUACCAAAGAAGCAAGGGAGUUACAGAACAAAAAAAUCUGGAUCCAGUCUUUCAGAUUGUGACAGAACUGCUAUCAAAGCUUUAUUGGUUAAGCUAACACGUAAUGAUAUUGAGCAGCAAAGGGUGGCUGAUGAUGAGCUCCGGUUGCUAGCUGGCUAAGAGGAAUGCAGAUCGAGUAUGUAUUGUCAAGGCAGGAGCAAUACCGCUUCUCGUAGACUUGUUGUCUUCCACAGAUCAUCGAACUCAGGAGCACGUUGUUACAGUACUUCUCAAUCAUUCCAUCAACGAGAGUAACAAAGGAUGGAGGCUAGAGAAAAUGCAGCUAUAACUCUCUUUAGUUAUGUUACUUUGUGAAGGUACUCCAAGAGGCAAAAAAGGUGCUGCUACUGCUAUAUUUAAUCUAUGUAUUUAUCAUGGAGACAAAGCUAGAGCUGUAAAAGCCGGGAUAGUUGCUCCAUUGAUACGAUUUAUGAACGAUGUGGGACGUGGGAUGGUUGACAAAGCAUUAGCUAUAAUGAUAAUCCUUGCAAGCCAUCAUGAAGGCAGGACAUCAAUCGGACAAUGCAUUGCUUCAAUUUGAGAAGAAAAUGUUUUGAAUGUAUCUUUUUAAAUUUCCAUGGCUGUUUUUGUUGAGAAGACCACUCUUUCUUAGGCAGAUAUGCUCUGUCUUUUUUUGUGGGGGUUUUAUUUUUUUCUUCAAACAAUAACGAUAAUCAAACUUGAACUUAAAAAGGUUACUUUCUUCAUGCUUAUAUUCGUCCAGUUUUUAAGUCUAACAUUGAUGAUACUAAUGGGGAUAUGUGAUCAGUCUAAAGUGGGAACAGAAGAUCGUGGCAUUCUAAAUGUUCAUAUUGGAGAUGUCUUCGUUCACUCAGAAUUAACGCAGAAGAUAUGCCGGUCUGCCACUCUCAUUGUUUAUUGCCUAGCUAAAAAUGCUCCCAUAUUGUUUUCACUUCCAUCCAUUUGUGUAGCAGUUAAAAUGUUACGAACCGAAAAUAAAUGGAUUGAAAACUACUAUGAUAGACCAAAAGAAAAGAAUUGUUUCAUUGAAAAUUAAUAGAAAAUGGAGAAUAUAAUUCUUUCUGAUGUCUGUGAAUACUAAAAGAGUUUAAGAACACAACUGAUACAACUCAACGGACUAGAACACCAAUGUAAAUUGUAAUUUUAUAUCCUUUUAGCAUGCUAAAGAAGUGGUAAAAACUAAAAUUUCUUGAAUAUAACAGAUAUCAAGCAAGACACCUAAAAUUUCUUGAAGAGUUUCAUUUUGAUAGAAAAUCGUGUAAAAAGUUUUACACCGUCAACAAAUGACAACCAAUGAUAAUAAGUUCGGGUUUAGAAACAUUUAUGAUUGAAGUCAAAUCUUAUUAAUGUUUCAAUGGUUUGAUUGAUUGACAGUGUAAAAAUCUCUACAGCAACUUUAUAUUUAAAUGAAAUUAUUCACUUAAUACAAGAUAUGUGAGCCAAGGCAGUCCAAGAGCAAGAGCAGCUAACAUCACACGAUCGAAUGUCUGUAGAAAGGCAUCUAAUGGAGGCAUCUCAGAUGGCUGUCUACUUAUUCCUUUUGAUAUAUUUGAGGCAUCAACUGCUUUCCGCGAUUUAACUUCAUUAGGAAACAAGAAUUGCACUGCGUCCCAAAGAGCUAUGUUCACAGAGUAGGGGAAUCUAUUACUGCAAAAGGAAAAAACAUAACAAAGUCAAAAGACAACAAUACAUAUUUGAUUUUGAAAAAUUAAUUACUUCAUGAAUACCUUAUCCAUUCCUUGCAUAAAGGGCACCUUUGUCCAGCCAUAUAUAUGGAAGAUUGCAAACACUUUUUGCAAAAACUACAAAAGUGUAUAUUCUUAAUUAGAAAAGUUAGAAGUUGAUGCACAAUAAACUAAAUUGAGUAUGAGUCAUGACAAAUGUCUAACAUAGAUAUAAAAUCAACAAUAUGAUACUUGAACAUUAAUCGUUUUCAUACACUCAUUCAACAAUGAUCAUUAUUUUUCUAUCUCUCUUUUCCUAUCACAUGAUUAACAUAUCAUAUCUAUCAAAGUGUCGAUGGAGACAUGGUCAGUGUGUGUGUGUGUGUGAUACGCACCUGUGGCCGCAACAAGUAGUACAUGGUUCAAAGUAUAUCUCCAAACAAAUCUGCCAGAAUGAAUAAAAAAUCAGCAUUGUAACUUACAUAUCAACAAUGUAUAAAGCUAGAUUAGAAAAAACAUCACAAGGAUUUCAUUACCGGACAUGAAAACUUCUCGGUGAGUUCAUCGGUGUAAGGGAUAACAGCGGACGACAAAUCAGAACUCAUCUUGACGAAAUUUUUCAGAGAAAGCGACGUACCUUUUCUUCUUUGUCAAUUCUCUAAACCUUUUUUUUUUUUUUUCUUUCGAUAAGCACUCUAAACCCUAUUUAAUUUAUAGUGAUGAAUUAGGUUUUACCGAUAUAUUCUAGUAAAAAAUAAUCCACGUUAUUCCUUUCAAAAAGUACAGCGAAAGGGACUUUCACGAACCAUAACGAUAAGUUGAAAUGGCAAUAUCACACCACUACUACCGGGAUGAUUUCGUAAAAUCCGGUGUUAAAGUAAAUAAAAUUGUUUUACGGCAAGACUCCUUUUUAACAAUCUAGAAUUAAAAUUGUAUAUAUUUUGUGACAAGAUAGCCAAUUUAAAAAUCAUAUCCAUUAUAACACAUUUCUCUGAUCUAGAUCAUGUGAUGUUUGAUUAUCCUUUUUUUAUACAAGUAUGGUGUAUGACUAGUCUCUAGGAUGAUAUCCAUAAAGCUACUAUGGAAACUAUUACAAAAGUUAUAGCCAUUUUUUUUGUUGUUAGAGCAGCUCACGUCGAAACUUACGUAACACAUGGCAACUCUUUUUUAGAAUAUAUAGAAACAUCGUAACCUCAAACUGUGGCAAGACAUGACAGGGUUAUGUGCACAAGUUGUGGAGAGAGCAGAUUGUUUGUUGGAGGACUGGUUGUUUCUAAAGUUUGAUAAUAUUGAUUUUGAGCUUAUUUUUGAACAAAUAAUAUUGAUUUUGAGCUUUAUCAAAAGUAACAAUAUAUGCUUUAAAAAAAAAAUGGGGAAGAUGCUGCGGAAUUUGGUCACAACAUAACAACUUGUAAACGUAGUUUGGCUUCUAAAUUUACAAACCAUUAAAUUAAGUUUAGUCAGAGACAAACAAAUGAGAUCGCUUAUGUAUUGGUAGGGUAGCCACAUUACCAACUAGUCACAUUUCUUAUUAUGAUGUACCACCUUGUAUUAUUUAUCUUCUUAUCAAUGAAAUGAUAUAAGAUUUUAUUUUAUUUUAUUUAAAAAAAAAAAAAAACACAAAUAUGUAAAUCCUUUGAAAGAUAACUUUGAACAACAUUUUUUGUUUUAUACCUAUUGCAACCAAUGCUGUUAUCACGGAGUUAUGGAAUUCAAAAGACACGCUGUGUAUCAUAGAACCAACACAAGUGCAUAACUUCAUGUUAUCCUCAGAACGAAUUGUCUCAUUAUAUGCCACACUAAAAGCCAUAUCUUAAUUUCAGACACUUAUGUCUGAUGUCUUCAAGUUUCCAAAACUGGUUCCAUUCAUAAACUUGUUAGAUAUCUCUUUGGGAUAUUUUCCUCUCAGUCCAUUCCUCUCUUUGGUGAUAUCGCAUUCGUGUGUGUAGCAAGAAAAUAUUGUCGCGCUAUUUAGCAUUUUUCUUUUUUAAUAAGGCGUUAACAAACCAAAAUACAUAAUCCAAACUAAUUUUCUCUGCAAAUAGUCAGAUCUAAAGAAAAAAUAACUAGAUGUUUGCUUGCAUCCGAUAUAUGUGAUCUCUAAAAUGUUGACAAGUUCGCUUAUACCACCUUGAAUUUGUGAAUGAAAAUUAAACUCCACAAAAAUAUCUAACAACCUCUCUGGAGGAUGAUUUGUAAGUAAUCUUGGAGCCUUGAGAGAUGUCCUCGUCACUAGCGUGAUGUGAGCCCAGGACCUAACCUAUCCAAAAAAAAAAAAAAAUCAUAUGAAAAAAGUUGUUUCAAUCAUGUUCAUCGCAUAAGCUUUAAAAUAAUUUUCCCCUAAAAAAACAAGUUCUAAAUAAAAAUAGUUCGUAUUAAAUAGAAAUUAUCAAACACGUUCGUAACUUCAAUCUAAGUCGUCCUUUUUCUUUUACUAAAACAAGAUCACAUUCCUUAUCGUUGAUGUGUGCAAAUUCAUGUAAAUUAUUAUAGAAUCACUUAUUCAUGCAAUUAAACAUGAUAAUUUAAGAACUUGUUUUUUUCACUAAAGUUUAACCAGAAAAAAUAAAAAUCUCAUCAAAUAUGAUACCACCAUUCAAAAUAAACUAAACCGACAUAUAAAGUAGUAUAAGUAUAACCCAUUUAAUUAAAUUAAUUGGCUAAAUAUUGCUUAGUUUUUUUUCUUUUCUUUAAAGAGUGCUAAUUUUAGAUGGGCUAUCCGGCAUUUGAACUAUACCCCUGCCUGCAUAUAUUACUAUAUAUGUCCUUACCCAAAAAUAUAUGUAAUCACAAAAAAUACUAUUUAAAAAUAUAUGUCUUUAUCAACUGAGUUAAUUUACACAAACUAUUUUAAUUUAUACUACUGAAACGUACCAACUUACUUGAUCAUAUUUUUGUAAAAAAAACUUACUUGGUCAUAUUUUUCAUUUUAGGGAACUUAUACCUUGUAAUAUUCAUUUAAAGAUAAUAUCAGUGAAUUUUACUGAUCAUUAUAAGUAUCUGAUUCAAAAGUGUUGCAUACUUGCAUGUCAUUUAUGCUAUUCUUAUCUCCUCUCCACCAUGGCUUAAUUCACUAUCAUCCAAUGCAAGUAGGGGUUCCUGCCUAGUGGCAUAAUUUAGACUCCUAUAAAAGGCAUCGGUUGUGUUACAACAUAUGUAUUAGAAGAACAAAUUAACUUGCUUAAAUAUUUAAAGAUAUUUUGUGCAAAAUGGCAUCCUUGAAGGCUGACAAACCUGUUGGAACCCAACUUUUUGGGCAGGCCAAGAAAGAAGCUACUCCUAAAGCUAGUGAUAAGGGCCAAGCUUCCAAAUCAGCUUCAAAGAAAGCUCAUCAGAAGCCUCAAGAUCUUAAUAAGAAAAAGGUAUCUUAAAUUCUUUUUCAAAACAGUGUGCUUAUAUGAUGGUGGCUUGAAUCAUGAUUCAUGACUAUAUAUAUAUAUAUAUAUAUAUAUAUAUAUAUAUAUAUAUAUGGAGUUGUUGGAACACAUGGGAGUGUUUUAGCAAGCUACACCUUAAGGUGCAUUUAACUACUUUUUAGUUAUAACUUGCUAAAAUACACCUUCUAAAAAUUAAGUGUGUGUAUUCUAGCAAAUGCCUGUAAGAGUUGCUAACAUACACCUACUUAUUUUUUAAAAGAUGUGUUUUAGCAACAUUUACUUUAAGGUGUAUUUAACAACUUUUUACUUAUAUUUUUGCUAAAACACUCCCACUUAAAAAUUAGUGGGUGUAUCCUAACAAAACUUAUAUAUAUAUAUAUAUAUAUGCGCGGGCUCUUACCAAAAUUCAACUUUUUUUUUUAUCCUUGAUUGUCUACAGGGAAAGGGAAGCAAACCAGCUGCUAAGCAUUAACAAGUAGCCUUACUUUACUUAAAAAAAAGUGUUGUUUGUGACUUAAAAAAAGCCACACCAACAUUGAAUUGAAUACAAUAAUAUGUGCACCUUAUUUUCUUGUAGUUAGCCAAUUGAUCUUAGAGUUCUCUUAAAUGAAUCAGUUUGAUCUAGAGGCUUCAUAAUAUAAUCAAAAUUAUAAUUUACAUCUUAAUAAAUUAUUGUCAUCUCUGUUUUAUUUCUGUCAAAAAAUUGUCUCUAUUUUACUGUGACAUCGUUUCUUUGGCUUUUUCCAACAAAACAAAAAAAACAAUUUUUUUUUUAUCAAUCACCAGUAAUUUCUCCUUCGUAUGAAUAUUCCUAGCCUUUGAAGAUCUCUAAGCAUGUGAGAUGUCGCUAAAUUAGAAAUGAACCCUGGAAAAAUUGAUUAAAUUUAGACUCCUAUUUAGUAUUCCUCAAUGUACUCUUUCAAUUAACACAUUGAGAUUUUGGAUGUUCCUUUCAUGAUGAAGAAGAUGUUGCAUUGGAGCUUGCCUUGGAAGGUUGACCUAAUUAUGGAUUGACUUCUAGGUUGACAAUUGACAUUGUCCCCGAGUCCUAAAUUAAUAUGUUCUACAUCACUUUUGAGUCAUUAUUUUUAACCUAUACAUUUAUAACACUGGUUACUAACCCAUUAUUAAUAAUGGUAAUUUUAUAAAAUUGCAAUAUUAUUUUUGUCAUUUUAUUUAAUAUACGAAGAAAAAAAAUGCAUGAGUUCCAUCAAGAUGAAUCGUUCGAAAGAAUCUGAGUUCAAUUCUUGAUAGGAACAAUUUCUAAUUAAAUUUUACUUAUCUUAUCUGAAUUCCAUAAUAUUAGGGUCCUUUCCCUAAAAUCCGGAUGAUUAACACCCAAAAAAAUAUAUCUUUGAAUGUUUUGGUAUAGAAAUUCAAGAUGUAGUUUACCAUUUUUUACUUUGAAGAAAAGAUGUAGUUUAUCAUUGUACAUAGUACUCUACGCAUUGAAAAAUGAGAAAUAGUAAAAUAAUAAAUGGUAAAACUGGGAAUAUUGUGAUACAAACUCAUCUCUGCAAGUAUAUGCGGAUAAAAUAAUUUACGAGGACAUAUUUUUUUAUAGAUACGGAUAUAGAUUUGAUUGUACAUGUGUCCGCGUGUAUAUGUACUUAUUAAUAUAUUAGAUAAACUACUGAUAUUUGUAUGUUUGUUUUAUAAUUAGUUGAAAAUUUGUACUUUUUUUAUACAUUAUAUACAUAAGAUUUGACUUUUUAUACUUUUUUUAGUUUUAAGCUUAGAGAACAUAAGUCUUUUUAUACUUUUUUUUCUUAGACGUUGAUUAGUUGUAAAUUUGUAUGGAUUUCAAGAAUUGCAUAGAUUAUGUAAGGACUAUGAAUUUUGUAUCAACUAUGAAAUUUGUAUGGUUUACAAAAUUUGAAUGGAUUUUGUAUGACUUGUGAAAUUAAAAUGGAUGUUUAAAAAUUGAAGUUUUUAGAUAAUUAAAAAAAUAUUUUUUUUUAAAUUUAUAGAUAUCCGUGAAUAUAUGUGGGUAUCUAAAUACUUGUUGAUUAUCUGUAUUAUGAUACUCGUACAGGUAUAAGAACGGACAUGGGUAUCAAAUUUAUUUAAUGGGACGGAGAUGGAUAUCAUACUACCCAUAUCCAUGGAUAAUCAUUGACACCCCUAAUUCUCAAUAAAUUUUAAAUGAUAACAAUUUCAUAUAAUUUAUUUACAUUCUUGAAACCCAAUUCUCAUAUUAAUUUAUUCUUCUUCCAUUGAUUUGUAGUUUUUUCUUCCUUCCUAACUUAACAGCCACUAGUAUAUGUCUUCAAGACAGGUGCAAGAUAAUAAAAUGACUCUUCUUAAGAUUGUACUGUUGUUGGACUUGCCCCAAAAGAAAAGUUUGACUUAAAAUUUGCAACAUUAUUGUUCUGACCUCUCUCCAGCACCAGCUGAGCAACAUCUAUUAAAGUUUUUCUUGAAACUAAUCUAACAUUAAAUUUAAAUCAAAUAUUACAUUAUUGAUUAUAGAUAUAAAACAUAUAACUAAUCAAUAUCUUAUGAAGAAGCAAACAAAUUAAUUAAGACCGUUAUAUUCUUUAAUGUAUUUUUAUUUUAUUAAACAUUAUAAAAUGCCUUAGUAGGUCACUCAAUUACUAAGUAAAAAAAGGAAAAAAUUUUAACUAUAUUGCAGAGCCCUCCAAAAAGAAGACUCUUCCAAAAACUAGCGUAUGCCGCUAAAUGUGACGCUGACACGGUAUUCUUUAGUAAAAGGCGAAAGAAUAGUUCGCUAUGUCAUCAACACACGGCUCCGUGCUUAAUGCUAAUGGAGAUCAGUUCAUUUUAUAUGCAAGCAGCAUAGCUUCUAUUAUGCAUUAAGCGAUGUGGGACGUUGGUCAGAACAAAGACCCAUUCCCUUUCUUUCUACCCUCCAAUUGUCCUUUUAAACAAGCAUUUCAUGAAACCAAUUCCAUGGAUCAAUGUCUUGAAUGAUAUUUCAUACAAUAAACUUGAGAUGUCAGAGGAAGUUAAAGAACAGUUAAAUUUAUCUUACAUUGAUAAACUAUAUGCAAUUCCAUGGCAUUUCAUUAUUUUCCUGUCAUUUGUAAAAUUAUAUUCCCUUGCUGUGAUUUUAAAUUUCUUCAAAGAAUUCUUUUUUGCAAGGAUAAGAAGGAAGCAUCAAUUUUAUUGAUGAUUAUAUUCCAUAUAUUUUUAACUGUUCUAAUCUCUCAGAUUGAACUAGUGCAUGCUCAGUUCAAAAGAGCCAAAGCUCAAACAGAAUUUCUUGAUUUAAAAUUAGACUUGGAUAUAGCAGUAGCACAGAUAGAUAAAGACCCUGAUCCUGUUAUACUCAAAAGGCUCUCUGAGAAGUUGCAUCUGAGAAGCUGCAUCUGAGGACUAAGAAUUACACGAAUUGGUCAUAAUAGGCAACGGAGAACUAGAAGACAGUUUUGAAACCGUCUCAUCCCUUCUUAGGAAACUGAAAGACUGCGUGCUCACAGAAAAUCCUGAGGUUGAUACCUAUGACUCUAUGAGAGCGAGAAUAGUUUCAAUUAAGCACCAGUCGAUUUUCGAUGUCCUAUAUCUCUUGAACUAAUGAAAGAUCCUAUAAUUGUCUCCACCGGUCAGGUAUUAUCCACAAUCCUUUUUGUGCGAAACAUUGUUCUGAUGGUGUCAAUUAUGAUUAUUGAUGAAAUUCCUACUUUAUUUUGCAGACAUAUGAAAGAUCCUGCAUUCAAAAAUGGCAUGAUGCUGGUCACAGAACCUGCCCUAAAACACAGCAGACACUUUUGCAAACAUCCCUUACUCCUAACUACGUUUUGAAGAGUCUGAUUGGUUUAUGGUGUGAUAGCAAUGGUGUUGAACUACCAAAGAAGCAAGGGAGUUACAGAACAAAAAAAUCUGGAUCCAGUCUUUCAGAUUGUGACAGAAC